rnacentral:rRNA from 1 species
AUGGUGCACGAGACGAUCGCCUCCUCGUCCUGUCACAUAGUUUGCCUCCAGGAGUCUAAGCUGGAGGAUGUUGACCAAUUUUUUGCCACCUACCUAGGCGGAAAUUGGCUACGGAGCUUCGCCCAACGGCCUGCGGUGGGCACUAGAGGCGGCAUGUUAAUGCUUUGGGAUGAUAGUGUCAUCCGUAUUUCGGACGUCCACACCUCCGAAUUUUGCUUGUCGGUAACUGUCAAUGUGCUUCACUCUGAGACGUCGUUCAAGUUAACUACUAUUUAUGGACCCACGGCUUCCAGCAGAAAGGAUGAUUUCUUCGAGGACUUGAUCGCCCAAAAACCAACUACUGGAACCAAAUGGAUUGCCAUGGGCGAUUUCAACCAAAUCUCAAGAGCCAGAGACAAAAACAAUGGAAAUGUCAACCGCAGCCGUAUUAACCGCUUUCGUGAUGCUCUUGUCUCAUGCGAACUCAAAGAAAUUCGCCUACAGAACAGACGUUUCACUUGGAGUAAUGAGCGGCAAAACCCCACUUUAUGCAAGCUUGACUAGGUCUUCUGUAAUGCUGACUGGGACAUGCAUUUUGGAUCGCACGUGCUCCACGCCAUCUCUUCCUCACUCUCAGAUCAUUGUCCUCUCCUCCUCGCUGAUGAUGAAGGGCCAAAGCAACCAAGAUGCUUCAAGUUUGAGAAUUUCUGGGCAUGUCUUCCAGGCUUCCGAGACAUCGUGCUCAAAGCUUGGGCGGAUCCAUGCGAGCAUACUGAGCCUUGCCAACGGCUUUUCUUCAAGCUAAAGCACACAGGAUGGCUCCUGGCUAAAUGGAGCAAGGGUCUUUUCUCAAAGGCGAAGCUUCACCUGCAUGCGGCCCUCUACAUCAUCCUCCAUCUCGACAUUGCCCAGGAAACACGCCCACUCUCUAUGGCGGAAAGGGACCUUUGA